GGACCCCUAGCUCAGUGGUAGAGUAUGAGAUUCCAGAUCACGUGAUGUCACGUGACUUAGGCUUCCUCAGGGUCAUCCGUUCAAUCCGGGUGGGGUUCA